rnacentral:lncRNA from 1 species
AUUUAUUUAUAGGGCUGAUGUGGUGGCUGCUCUAUGCACCGAGGGCAGCGGGAGCGCCGCGUGCCGGGGUGGACAUGACUCAGACGCUCUUUAAAGAUGCACUCGGUCUCUCGGUGUCACCCCUCUUCCCGGAUGGAAAGGGCCACUGGGCCGGAUGGGAUCCCUGACCCCAGGCAGCAGCACCGGAUCUGGGAAUGCCUCACCCCGUUGCCCAGCUGGAGCUCCCCCGGGAGCUGUGGCCACCAGCUCAGCCCACCCUUCGAGCGCAGCCGACAGAUGCUCUCCCGCCUGCUCCGCAGAUGGGGUGAGCAGCUCUGCAAAUGCCAAGUGCUGAUGCCAAAGGGCCGUGUCAACAAAGAAGAAUGAGUGUGGCUGUUAGAGGCUGCUAUUAAAAAAGGGUGGAGAGGAGAGGGAGAGGGAGGGCUGAAAAAGAGAAGAAAAGGGUUGUCAAUGCAAAUAAUAACAGUUUGCAGAGCAGUAAAAAUCCGGGAGCAGCAGCCGGACCCCUGCAGUGCCCUUGGGUGCUAGCAUCAAACAGAGACUCUGCACCCUGUGUCCUUCCAGAGAACAAACCCAGCCCAGCAACUUGGCAUCCCCUGUGGGCAGCACGAAGUGUUUUUCAAGCUCCGAGGGUUUUCCAAGCCUGCUGUGCUCCUGCUUGGCCUCCAGGCCCUGCUGCAGGGAGCCGCAGCGGGGCCGGGCAUGGCAUCGGCUCCCCGGGACGGGGUGGGGUCGUGUCCUGCCCCGUGAGUGCCAGCAGCUAUUUCUAGGCAAGCCCUGGCUGCUGCCGAGUGGGAUGGGAGGGAAGGAACCUCUCACAUGACUCCGAAGACGCAAGGGGAAGAUGCGGUCUCUGGUUUCAGCUUUCUAUUCCCAGCCCGUUAUUCCGCGGUCGAAGAUGGAUCUGCCCCGCAGGGCAGCCGCGGGAGCUGGGGCUGAAUCCGGGGCUGCAGGCAAGCACCCUCAUCCCCCUGGGAGGCAGCUGGAGCUUACAGCUCCUGCCCAGCUGAAAUUCCCUCUUGGCAUCGCCUCUCCCUCCUGCCCGGAGGUCAAACCCAAGCGGGUGUAGGGGAUGCUCAAGUAACACCACUUGGGAAAAGCAAGCGGAGGAAGAGAUAGACAAAGCCCAAAUCUUAUUCCAAAACCCGGAAUGGAAGUAUUUUUGAGGAUAAUCCAUCAGCUCACUUCAUUUUGUCUUUUUCAAAAAUAUUCUUGCUUACUAUUUUGCACAGUGGUCUGUCCUUAGCCUUAGUGGUUUUAUUCCCACAUUGCCUUUCAUUCCCACCUUUCCAUGCCACAGCCACCCUCUGUGCUCAUCUCCAAAGCAAUGGCAGAAGGUUAACCUCUGGAAAAGCCUGGUUUUCAA